AGACUGCUUUUACAAACAUCUGUGAAAGAAUGGGUCGCUCUCGGGUUCAGUGAAUUCAAACGUGGUACCGUGAUAUGUUGCCACCUGUGCAAUAAGUCAUUUGUGAAAUUUCCUCACUACUAAAUAUUCCACAGUCAACUGUUAGUGGUAUUAUAACGAAGUGGAAGCAGUUGGGAACAACAGCAACUCAGCCACGAAGUGGUAGGCCACGUAAAAUCACAGAGCGGAGUCAGCGCAUGCUGAGGCGCACAAUGCGCAGAAGUCGCCAACUUUCUGCAGAGUCAAUAGCUACAGACCUCCAAACUUCGUGUGGCCUUCAGAUUAGCUCAAGAACAGUGCGUAGAGAGCUUCAUGGAGAGCUUUCCAUGGCCGAGCAGCUUCAUCCAAGUCUCACAUCACGAAGUGCAAUGCAAAGUGUCGGAUGCAGUGGUGUUAAGCACUCCACCACUGGACUCUAGAGCAGUGGAGACACUUCUCUGUCUGGCAAUCCGAUGGACGAGUCUGGGUUUGGCGGUUGCCAGGAGAACGAUGUGUAGAUGGCUGUGGAAGCUGAAGCAAUUCCCCUGGUCUUCUGCAUCCAGCAGAGGAAACCUCCCCCACAAGACAGCAACAGCGUGGAAGCCUGAGACUCUACAUUUCCAUUACAACAGAAAAGAUAUGUUUAUUCCGGACCAGAUGAGAAGGAUGCAUGACUAUAGGACCAGCUGGAGAGCGGUGGCCACCUUUCUUUCAGUCAGCUAAGGCAGGACUCUGUGAUUUUGGCGUUCCUGGGACAGCUGAAAGUGGACGUCAACCAGCCAAUCAUCUACACUCAGACAUUCAAGAAAGAGACACAGUUCAGGCUGAAUGAGGGGGAAAAAAUUAAUUCUAAAAGGUUAUAAGUAUUUAGUUUGUCACAUUCAAUACAGUCUGUUACUGUAUACUGUAUGUACAGUAUGCACACCCUUUAUAUCCUGAAUGGCCAGUGCAAUAAAUAUAAGACAAACAUUUCUAAAUAUUUCUUCAUAUUAUCCACCAAUAUUAUAAUCUUUCAUGUAUUAGUCAGAAAUCUGACAAUGUAUGUCUGAAAUAAAAUUAAAUAAAAUUAUGAUUUAGUGUGUUUUCAUUUUCA